rnacentral:misc_RNA from 1 species
GAUGAAGAACGUAGCGAAAUGCGAUACGUAAUGUGAAUUGCAGAAUUCCGUGAAUCAUCGAAUCUUUGAACGCACAUUGCGCCCCUUGGUAUUCCAUGGGGCAUGCCUGUUCGAGCGUCAUUUGUACCUUCAAGCUUUGCUUGGUGUUGGGUGUUUGUCUCGCCUUUGCGUGUAGACUCGCCUUAAAAUAAUUGGCAGCCGGCGUAUUGAUUUCGGAGCGCAGUACAUCUCGCGCUUUGCACUCAUAACGACAGCGUCCAAAAGUACAUUUUACACUCUUGACCUCGGAUCAGGUAGGGAUACCCGCUGAACUUAAGCAUAUCAAUAAGCGGAGGA